UUACAAUUCCAAAUAAAUCGUCAAUUACAAAUGAUUACUUGUGGCCCGGAGGCUUUUCCAGUUUCGCCAGGACAGGUGGGCGAGCAAAGGCUCAGCCAAGCAAAGGCUCAGCCAUUUUAAAACUACACUGGCAACAAAAACAUCUUGAAAAGCCAAUCGCCUUAACGAAAGAAAGAAGAAGGAAAAGAGUGCAAUAUUAAUUCAUUCAACAAUAAAAUAACCUAUUGUUUG